rnacentral:rRNA from 1 species
CGCUUACCACUUUGUGGUUCAUGACUGGGGUGAAGUCGUAACAAGGUAGCGCUAGGGGAACCUGGCGCUGGAUCACCUCCUUAWACGAUGAU